AUAAAUAGAUGUAUAUGUUGAAUCGUCUCGGGAAAAAGAGGUGCUUUGAGGAAGAUACGUAUGAAAAAGUACUGAAGUUUGUUGAUUACAGUUUUUCAUGUAUUUUUGCUAAUUUGGAAGAGAGCGGAUAUUUUUUUCUUUCUGUUUAAAACAAAUCAUGGCUUUUCGAGAUCGGCGAAACAUUAAAACCUGUGAAAAUCGGACGACUAGCUUGUUCCUUGUGCAAUCAUUAUCCCAUAGGCAGUUCGUUGUACGUGAUUAUUCUGGGACUUAUUGGGACCGUUAGUCCGUCAUAAUCACGGCUGCUGAUGUAAUGCGUACGGUGAGUUGCAAAAUUCCUAGAGUGUCAUCACGUCACAGGAACAACCGGGAGGAGAGAGUACCGGUGACUGUCGAGAGAGAUUUGAAACUGAUGGUGUCGAUACUAGGAUUCGAGCAUUACACUUUAAUUAUGUUAGGCACUAUCACGGAAUAUCCUAUGUUAUAUACACCCUGGUUGCUAAUGCAUCUGUGCGUCAUUUUGGUGGAGAUUGUCGUCUUCUUCGUGAGAUUCUUCCUGGACGGUUUGCAUGUCAAACGUAAUGAAAUGCUGCAAGCGAUAUUCACCUUGUACAACUGGCUGCAAGUCUUUUGUCUCUUUUAUCGGCAAACACGAAGAGUCGCAUAGCACUCUCUCUCUACUACUCGGUGUUAUUAUGACAAAAAAUAUAUAAUCACAUAACGAUUUUUAACACACAACAUAUGAACUUUCUAUAAUGUACUAUUUUUUGCUCUUGAAUAUACUUUGAUAUUACAUUUUGAAUUGAAAAAAAAAAAAAAAACAUUAAAAUAAAGAAAAUAUUAACAAUUGAGCCACUGUC